CCAGCCCGCUCAGACUCAAGGAAUUGACGGGGGCCCGCACAAGCGGAGGAGCAUGUGGUUAAUUCGAUGAUACGCGAGGAACCUUACCUGGGCUCGAACGUAAGAUGACUGUAGGUGAAAGCUUACAUCUCUUCGGAGCAUUUUACGAGGUGCUGCAUGGUUGUCGUCAGCUCGUGCCGUGAGGUGUCGGGUUAAGUCCCAUAACGAGCGCAACCCUACCUUUAGUUGCCAUCAGGUAAUGCUGGGGACUCUAAAGGAACUGCCUACGCAAGUAGUGAGGAAGGCGGGGAUGACGUCAAAUCAGCACGGCCCUUACGUCCAGGGCUACACACGUGCUACAAUGGCCGAUACAGAGGGCAGCUACCUGGUGACAGGAUGCAAAUCUCCAAAGUCGGUCUCAGUUCGGAUCGGAGUCUGCAACCCGACUCCGUGAAGUUGGAUUCGCUAGUAAUCGCGCAUCAGCCAUGGCGCGGUGAAUACGUUCCCGGGCCUU
rnacentral:rRNA from 1 species